AUACUCUGGAUUCUCUUCACAUCAUACACCUUUUGCCCCUUACUAAAGAUUCUUAUGGAGAGGAACAAGCACAAGUGUCUCGGAAUUUUUGGAGGCUUCUCGUUGGUGGAGAUU
rnacentral:snRNA from 12 species